UUAAAUGAACGAAAGCGACUUAUAAUUGAGGACGUGUCAUUUAGCUAUGUGGUGUGUAGAGAACGAGAAGGGCCAACUAGCCAAUGUUAGCAAUCAUUAUUGCUGUACAUGUCUGCCGGCUAACUUACUGCAACUCCACCAGCGUGCGCCGUGUUGCUGUCUGGCUAUCCGGGGCGAGGCGCGGGGUGUUUCACCCGAGCAGCUCCCGACGUCUGUCCUUCCCAGCCGCUAACCAUUCAGCGGCACCCGGGCCGGUACGCACCGUAGCGCGGACGUUCACCGGGCUCGUGUGUCGGUGUCCAAGACAGACGGUGGGAGGUAGGCGCACAAAUGGACCGGUCUAACGGCUAGUACUCCCGUCUACAGAUGCUGGCAACACCGCACAUCUCUCACCCUCUUCCGAACAGGUUGUUAUGUGUCCCGGCAAGCGUCGAGUAAGCCUCCAUGAAUGAAAAUACAACUGUUACAAGCAACUGCAUUAGCUCGCUGACCUAAUUCUCAUUUUUUAACGGCGGGUUUUUACAAUGAUCAAACAGCGUCAUUAUUCGGAUACGCCGUGACGUCAUCCGCCCGCGACUUUCGGUGCCGAAAAUGUAUAAAGUACAUAUUUCCAGAAGUUGGUCGUUCAAGGCAAUUGUAUUUACUUGUUUUUAAAGCACAAAACAGAAAAUGUUACUCAAAUUAUAUGUAGAAGCGGCUUUCGUCUCGUUGCCGUGCCGAGUGUCCUUACAUGACCUGUCAAGGCAGCACGAGAAGCUACUUGAGGACAGAACUGACAUUGCACUUUUUCCUCAUAAAUACUCUCGAUCCUAUAUUGUAUCGCCGCGUUUAAUGUUGUUAAAAACAUUACAUUUUAUGAUACGCUUAUACAUAAUUGAGCAGCGACUUGGUAAAAGUGACCAACACGAGGGAGCAACAAACAUUCAGUUUAUUUUAGGACAGCAAUAUACAUAAGCUAAACUUAAUAGCACAAACAAAACGCUAAUUACCAGUUAUACAAGUAAAACUCUCCAAUUGUAAAGACGAUACAGCGGUUUCUAAUAAGGCAUUAGAAAAAAAAACAAUGCAGACAUCAGACUGGGCAAUUUAAGGCGGUAAAUACAAAAGAGGGUACUCAGUAUUACUUACAAAGAGUAAGCCAUUUAUUUAAAUAUAAACCAAUGGUAAUACAAAAAUCUGGUCAUGGGUAAAAAGAUUUUUUAUGAAUCUAGAAACAGAAUUGCAUGUUUUCACUAAGUGUUUGAUUAUUUAAAAAAUUCACAUUGUUCAUAGUAGAAAUAUCAACAGAAGUCAUUGAUCUCUUUCUCCAACUCCUAAUUUAAUGGGAAAAAAAACAAGAUGAAUGAAAAUUAGAAACAAAUAUAAUACCUGUCUAAAGGGCACUGUAAUACAAACCCUAAUUAGUGCAGCUUUGUAGUGGUCCUGCCUGUGUCUGUAGAUACACUGGCAGAGGAGAGCAUAGAGUUUCUCCAACUUGUGCACCUCGUAGCCAUCAGUCUUAGUCACAACAUUGUCUAGCAGUUCCUAGGUAUGCAAGGAAUUGAAAAAAAAGUCAGAGGCCACAACACAUUUUACACCCAAGUGCUGUCCAUAUCCCACCUUCAAUUUGUCUCUGUCCACCGUCAAUGAAGGUUUUUCAUGAUCCUGCAUCUGCAGGGCUUUCUCCAUGUCGAACAACUGCUGCUGAACAAUGUUCUUUGAGCCCCGGGUCAGUCGCCUCAUAAAUUUCUCUAAGAAUAAAACAGAGGGCCAUAUGGAUACAAUUGUUAACGUGAUCUGGAGAUAUUGCCUUCUGUGGAAUUUAAUUAAGUGUUAAGUGGUUUGGAAGAACCCAGGAGUGAACUCAAACCUGCGGGGGACUGUUCGGUGCUGGCCAUCUCCAUUGGCUCAUGCUCCUGAGUUGUAACCUUGCUGUUAAAUUCCUGUGCAAAAGUUUGUACCAGGUUUUUGCUGCAUGUUUGCCCACAACCUGUGUUUGAUUGUCCCAGCUUAUUCCCUUGAUUGCUGGUCUUACUUUGCCCAUCUUUGACUGUGUAUGCAGUCAUUUCUAAAUCGGUCAGAUCUUUGACCACUGUUUUACUUGGUGUCUGGUCCUCAUCUGUUGUUUUUUUACUUUCACACAGAAUAUCAUCCUUCAUAGUCCCUUCAACCACUGCAGCCACAUCCGUGUCUUCAUCUUUUCCUGAACCUGUUCCUUUCUCAUUCUCUGUUUCUUCAUCUGCAUCAUCUUCAUCAGAGCCUAACUCUAUGUCGUCUUUGGAAACAUGAAAAGUCGAGGUAGAUUUCUUCUUUGAAUAGAUGCCAGAUGACCAGCGACUCUUUCGCCGCCUCUUCCUCUGGACUGAAGGAAUGAGAGGAUGCUUUGUAAAAGCCUUGAAGCGCUUGUCCUGGGACAGACGAUUUGUGACAUCACGCAAGAAGAGGCGCAGCUCCCGCAGCGUGUCUUCCUCUUGUUCUGCCAGUCUUCGGGCCUCCUGCUCUGUCAGCUGGCGUGGAGGAGGAGCGGCAGCAACCGGAAGCACUUCUACAGCUUGGUGCACUAUAAUGGAGAGUCGACAAUGUUUCUUUUCAAUACAUUCAUGCACUAAAAAAAAGCAUUCAGUUUGUCUUACUGGCUCUCUUUUGAGAGGUAGGUCCUUUGGCAGCCUGGUUGAGGAGCAGGUCCUCAAAGAAAUGUCUUCUUUCUUGGCUGCUGGGGAGUGGGACAUGGUACACCUCUCCGUACUGUACCCGAAAGAGCUCCUGAACCUGCAGCAAAAGCAGUCGUGAAGAACAAUUAAUCUCUUGUUCAUUUCCAGCAGCCUAAACCCUUCAUAUCAUCACAGAUUUUUGUACCUCCAUACUGAGCUCAUCGUAUUGUAGACUGCAUGUAGCCAGCAGCAAAAUAGGAGCAAAGGCAGGGAUGGAGCUCAAUAGACUGAUGAAGGUGGCCCUCAACGCAGGACCCACUGUUUCCCACCACUGUCCGAUGUGAGGAAUGUAAAGGAUACUCGGAGAAGUUCGCUUGGCUUCGACAAAAAUCUGCAGACAGUGUGGUACAAAUAUCAACAUAAAUACAACACAGAUGCUUUAGAUGGGCACGUUUCCAAAAUAUGAGAGUUAUGCAGGCAAUGCUUGUGCUUCAAUAACAUGCAUUAAAGAGGUUAAUUCGAUAUACAAAUUGUCCAGUUUUAGUCUAUAUGUGAACUGUGAUUGAUUGGCAACCUAUCCAGGGUGUACCCUGGCUCCUACACAAAGUCUGUUAGGAUAGGCCCAAGUUGUUUUUUAGUAGCUCUAAACAGACGAAGCAGUAUAAAAAAUGAAUGAGUAUGUAUCCCACAUUUAUCUUUGAGAGAUAAAUGUAAAAUUAUUUAGCCACUAGAUCAUGUUUGUAGUCAGUCAUUGCAAAAUACUAUGGUCAUAUGACAUUAUUCAAACAGAUACACAAGAUAUACAAUAUUUAAAGACACACUGGUUAAAAUAAAAGGGUCACAAAUAUAAAUCAAUUUACAGGUUACUUAUUUUAUACAUGCAGAUUUGUGUUCUGUGUUUCAAACACUAUUUAAGUACUCCAAACCAAGCAGAUGUUCACACAUAUGUGGCCCUUUCCUCAUGUUUAAAACACCUAUUUAUCCCCAGUAAGGAAUGUUGGGCCCAUCAACUACAUUGUUUUUAGCAGCCACUUUGGCCAGCUAAGUCAGCUGGAUAGAACCCAAUGAAAUUGACAAGGCUGCAAAGUGGGGUAUCUACUAAAGCAUGUUAAUCACUAUUAUUUUCAUCCAGUGAUAUUUGGCUUACCUGUGCGCAGGUCUCCUCUGGUGCAAUUGCACCGGCUCCAAAAAGCACUGCCAUAUCCAGAGUGUACACUGUGAAUUUCUCCAGGGCAUGGAGUACAGCAGGAGCCAAAUGGGAGGUUUGACCUGAACCAAGGCGACCCUCUAAAAGUAGCCUGGGACGCCCUGCUCCGCAUGUGGGAACACUUUGCUGACCGUUUGAAGGAUGUCCUGCAACACUGCACUCAGCAACGGACGAACUGCCGGUAUCAGUGCUUUGGCAGGCCAAAGAGGAACUCCCUGUCAAAACGGCCUGGGCGUCUGAGAGCAGGAUCGAUGGAGUCCAGUCUGUUGGUGGCUCCGAUCACCACAAUCUCUCCCCUGCCAUCCAAUCCAUCCAUGAGAGCCAAGAGGGUCGAUACAAUGGAGCUUUUGAGACAUUAAUGCUUAUACUUUAACCCACUGAAAUAUGUGAAGGUAUACAGAUAGCCUAAUUCAAACUAAAGUUUUACAUCACCAUAUGGCUGUAGUGUUGUAGCAGCAAGUUACAAUUUUUAACAACCGAACACAUCUUUUUUUUUUUUUAAACCAAACUGCUUUGGUUAAACAACUUUUUUAAUUUUCCUGAAGGCACUCUCCUGAAGGAAUCAAUACAGUACUAUCUAUGAAAAAACAAUAUGGAAAAUAUGUUCCAAUGAUAGAGUAGCACAAAACACCAUUUGUUUAGUGAAAAUGACUAAAAAUAUAAAUUUAUUCCAAGUUCCACACCAAAAACUAAUACGUACAAAAGUCUAGUUUCAACAUUCUUUCAGGUACAACAUGAGUGACCUUUGACAUCACAUAUCAGAUUCUAAAUAAAUGUAGAAAAUAACCCCCAGACACACUCCAAAUUUUGGAAUAAGUUUUCCCAAAAGACUAGUUUUAAUCCCGUUGAUGUAAUGGCCUGAUGUUCCAAGACUGUCAAAUUAACGGAACUACACAGUGUGCUUUUUUUAAAGUGUUAUUUCGGCACGAUACUCACCUGUGAAUCUGGUCCUGGCGGCUGGACCUGACUGGGGCCAAACCAUCAAUUUCAUCAAAGAAAAUGAUAGACGGACGCAUUUGGUAAGCCUAGGAAAGAUUUGAAAUGUCAGAUGUGCAAAUGAAAUACGGGCUCAUUACGUUGAGGUGCAAUUGUAUACAUUCGGGAUGAGAAUUUGACUUAUGCUUAAACACAUGAUGAGUUCACCUGGUCAAACAGCAGGCGUAGCUGUCUCUCUGACUCUCCAACCCACUUUGUGAGGCAAUCAGCACCUUUCCUCAUGAAGAACGACACCUUUCUCUCCCCCUCGCUGCAUUCAUUGGCUAGUGCUCUGGCUACCAGGGUUUUUCCUGUGCCUGGGGGACCGUAAAACAGGCAUCCCCUACCAACCCCAAAAACAUGGUGAGCAGGAGAUUUCCAUUCAUCAGUUUAGUAAUUUGAGAGCACAAUGUAGGCCUGGGGCGAUAAUCGAUAAGUCAAUUAACCAACGCUUCAAACGCAUUCACGCUUUUUGUCCCUUUUAGCGGCUACGCGUGUUUGUAACAUAGAGGAAUGAAAAAAAAGGGGGUGAUUUAUCUUGUCGUUAAACAAAUGAAAACAAACCAAAUGGCACUGCACCAGUGUGGGAAUAUUUCAGUUCAAACCUUUAGAACAAGAUGAGCCCGUCAAAAUCGAGAAGCAAGUUUGCCGAAUGUGCGCAAUUUCAACAACACCAACUUAAAAUACAACAACUUGACAGUCCACGCUCACUUCGCACUCACUUCCCAUUUGGUGAAGAGGCCAGGUGACAGGUCAGUGUAAACAAAACAGUACAAAAUAGUGUGCGCUCAGACAUACAUCACAAUAGACAUGCUGUCAUUUAAUACUGUUAUAAAACUUGCAUUAUUAAAAGUACUGUCAUGUUGGUGUUUUUCACACGCAAUCUGCCUAACUUAAUUUUGUUUUGCAAAUGACCUGUUAAUUCAUCUGUUUUAACUGUAGUGUUUAUAUUUUUACUUUGCAAUUUUGUUUAAGAAGGUCCUUGAUUGUCAGUUAAGUAAUUUACAACUCGACCUCUGUUCAAUAUUGAAGUGCAACUUUAGGUUGGCAAUACUUUCUUUAGCUAUUUUAUUUUUGUUAUGAUUGUGUGUAUUUGAGCCUCCCGUCCCCUAUUUAAGAUGUUUUAUUAAUUUAUUCACAAUGAAUGUUAUUAUAUAAGUGCAACAUUUUGCUAAUAGACAAAGUAUAUUGUAUUGUUACUUGUUUGUGUUAUUUAACUUGGACAUUUAAACAUUUUCUUUUCAAUUACAAUGUUAAGAUACAUGAGAAAUGCAAGUAACUGCAUUUGAAAGGAUAGAUAUGCAUUAUGUAUUAUCAAUAAAUCAAUGGUUGAUUUGGUUUCAUAAAAAAUGUCAACAGUGUUUAAUUGGAAUAAUUUGUAGGUCAAUAUUUCAUCAAGAAAAAUGUGUUAUCAGCCACAAUGCAUCGGUAAAUUUUCCAAAGUAUAUGUGACAUUGUCAGGCCACUCCCUAAAGCCUUUAAAAUUAAUUAAGAUGUUCUUUUCAGGACAAAUUACAAAAUAUGGCCAAUGAAUAGUUGAUUGUUUAGGUUCAUACAGGAAUAUUGUUUACCUGGGUGGCUGUAUGUGAAACUUCUCAAAGACUUCUGGGUAAAGUAGAGGGAAUACCACCAUCUCUUUGAGGGAAGAUAUGUGUCUGCUCAAACCACCGAUAGUGUCAAAGCGCACCUGUGUUACAAAGAGUGUUCAUGUCAGACUCCCAAUGUAGAAAACCAUCAAAACCUGAUGAUUUGUCUGUCUAAGCCAUAAAUUCUCCCCAAUCUUUGAUAAAAUACUAU